rnacentral:rRNA from 1 species
CAGAGUUGAUCAUGGCUCAGGAUGAACGCUAGCUACAGGCUUAACACAUGCAAGUCGAGGGGAAACGACAUCGAAAGCUUGCUUUUGAUGGGCGUCGACCGGCGCACGGGUGAGUAACGCGUAUCCAACCUGCCCACCACUUGGGGAUAACCUUGCGAAAGUAAGACUAAUACCCAAUGACGUCUCUAGAAGACAUCUGAAGGAGAUUAAAGAUUUAUCGGUGAUGGAUGGGGAUGCGUCUGAUUAGCUUGUUGGCGGGGUAACGGCCACAAGGCGACGAUCAGUAGGGGUUCUGAGAGGAAGGUCCCCCANAUUGGAACUGAGACACGGUCCAAACUCCUACGGGAGGCA